GACGAACGCUGGCGGCGUGCUUAACACAUGCAAGUCGAACGGACAGGCGCUGCUUUUGUGGGGUGCACGAGUGGCGAAGGGGUGAGUAACACGCGAGUAACCCGUCCUUGAAUUUGGGAUAACUUUAGGAAAAUGGGGCUAAUACAGGAUAGGAGAUAUUGAUGCAUGGUGGGGGAUGGAAAGUUUCGGCGGUUGGGGCUGGACUAGCGGCUUAUCAGCUCGUUGGUGGGGUAGUGGCUUACCAAGUGUUUGAAUGGUAGCCGGCCUUGGAGGGUGACCAGCGACAUUGGGACUGAGGGACGCACCAGACGCCAACGGUAGGCAACAGUCGGAAGUAUUGCACAGUGAGCGGAAGCCAGAUGCGGCAGCGCCGCGUGCGGAAUGACGGGCUUCGGGGGAUGAACCGCUGUCGCCGGAGACGAAGCGUUAUUGACGGUAAUGGGUAAAGAAGCACCGGCUAACUACGUG
rnacentral:rRNA from 1 species